AUUGCCAUGCACGGAGUUGUUCGGCGAUGAGUCAGCUGAGGUGUAACCUACCCAUGCAGAAGUAACAAACCAUAUAAAAUUUCGAAUAAUGAAAGGGAAUAAAUUGUCAACCAGUAAGUUAAAUAAUACUAAUCAAGGAUAAAGUUAUAGAUUUUUUCUUUAUUGUCAUUAAAAAAACAUGCAUUAUACUUCGAAUAAUUUCACAUAUAUAUGAUAAUUAUAUCAGCAUCCUAAACUCAUACCAAAAUUGAAUUUUUAUUUACUGAUGGUAUAAAAAACUUCAUGAAAAAUUCAACAAAAUAACCUCAAAUACUGAUUCUAUUUCCCAAAUUGAAGAAAUUAAAAAAUUUUGAUUACAUAUUUUUAUCACAUUUUAUGUAUUUGACGAUGAUUAAAAACACAGAAUUCUUCAAAACGACGUGAAAAUCACUCUGUUUGACAACUCAUACACUAUAAUCCGUGAAAUUUCAAUUAACAAUAGAAAAAAGUGUUAAUAAAGAAAUGUAACAUUUCUCAGACAGUAAUAUAGAGAGACAUGGAAGGUUAUGUAUAUUACCUGUAGUGAUGAGCUCGCCAAUACGAUAGUCUUCCAGCAUCUUCUUUGCUUUGUCAGAGUGGAUGGCGUCAAACUCUUCGGUGCAGUCAGUGCCGGCAUUGAUGAGGAUGCUGUCGGUGCCACCAGGGUGAUCUUUGAGGAAGCGGGU
rnacentral:lncRNA from 1 species